rnacentral:rRNA from 1 species
CCUACGGGAGGCAGCAGUGGGGAAUAUUGGACAAUGGGGGGAACCCUGAUCCAGCCAUGCCGCGUGUGUGAAGAAGGCCCUCGGGUUGUAAAGCACUUUCAGUGAGGAAGAACGCCUGGUGGUUAAUACCCAUCAGGAAAGACAUCACUCACAGAAGAAGCACCGGCUAACUCCGUGCCAGCAGCCGCGGUAAUACGGAGGGUGCGAGCGUUAAUCGGAAUUACUGGGCGUAAAGCGCGCGUAGGUGGCUUGAUAAGCCGGUUGUGAAAGCCCCGGGCUCAACCUGGGAACGGCAUCCGGAACUGUCAAGCUAGAGUGCAGGAGAGGAAGGUAGAAUUCCCGGUGUAUCGGUGAAAUGCGUAGAGAUCGGGAGGAAUACCAGUGGCGAAGGCGGCCUUCUGGACUGACACUGACACUGAGGUGCGAAAGCGUGGGUAGCAAACAGGAUUAGAUACCCUAGUAGUC